rnacentral:tRNA from 1 species
GCAGGAGUAGUCAAGCCUGGCCAAAGAAAGCAUGUAUGCUUUUGGCUCAGGAGUUCGUGAGUUCAAAUCUCACCUCCUGCA